CGGGAAGGGACAUCAAGUGCAGCCAAGUAAACCCAGAGCAGCCCUGACAGGGGUUUGUCCAGCCUGGUCUUACAAACCUCCGGUGACGGGGAUCCCACAACCUCCCUCGGAAGCCUGCUCCAGAGCUUCACUAUCCUUUUGUCCGCGUCUUUCCCAAACUGGAGACAAUUCUCCAGCUGAGGCCUCACCAGAGCCGAGUAAAGCGGGACAAUGACCUCCCGUGUCUUGCAUACGACACUUCUGUUAAUACACCUGUGAUGCUGGCAGAUUGGGUGCCAGCUCAUGCCAAGAUCUCCAUGUCUCAGCUGGACACCAACAGAGCUGGAGUCCGUCUGGCUCAUUUGUGGCGUGAUAGUGAUGACAUAGGAGGAGACCCAUCCAUGCCAGAUGGGCUGUGGCGGGAGCUCACAGCUGGAAACUCCCCACAUCUGGACUGAAAAACCAACAACAAAAGGACUAAUGACUCCCCUCCCAAUGAAGAUGAGUCAUGCAAGUGGACUCCUCCCUGCAGCUGAAUUUGCAGCUCAGCGCACAUGCCAGGAGGGGGUAAAAACUCCAAAGGAAAGGAACUAAGGAUCAUUCUGCUGCUUGGACUCUGGAGGGACAAGGGGUUUCUAGGCAUAAGCAAAAGAUCCCCAGCUGCUUAGCCAACAUUUUCAUAUCAUUACUAGAGGAUUGGCUACAAGCACUGGCUUUGGUGUGAGAUCUACAGCGUGAUGGAUGUGGAGUAAGUGGCUGGUCCUUUGGGAUCAGGAGUAACCUGAAUAUUGCUGUGAUCCUUGGUGUAAGGGGCCCUCUAUGGCAGAGUUACACUCGCCUGAGUGGCAAGACAGACGGCGUGCCCAAGGGAAGUGUCGGCGACUCCAUAUUAAGGCUCUCAGUGGGCCGGAGGAGUUUGCACUCGGUGCAGUUGUUGGUGAAAUCACACUGCUGACUCAGAUUCAGUUUGCGGCCACACAGCAGUACU